CCUACGGGAGGCAGCAGUGGGGAAUAUUGGGCAAUGGGCGAAAGCCUGACCCAGCAACGCCGCGUGAAGGAAGAAGGCUCUCGGGUUGUAAACCUCCUUUGACAGGGAAGAGCAGAAGACGGUACCUGUCGAAUAAGCCAUGGCUAACUACGUGCCAGCAGCCGCGGUAAUACGUAGGUGGCAAGCGUUGUCCGGAUUUACUGGGUGUAAAGGGCGUGUAGGCGGGCUGACAAGUCAGAUGUGAAAUUCGGGGGCUCAACCGCCGAACUGCAUUUGAGACUGUUAGUCUUGAGUAUCGGAGAGGCAGGCGGAAUUCCUGGUGUAGCGGUGAAAUGCGUAGAUAUUAGGAGGAACACCGGUGGCGAAGGCGGCCUACUGGACGGCAACUGACGGUGAGGCGCGAAAGCGUGGGGAGCAAACAGGAUUAGAUACCCCUGUAGUC
rnacentral:rRNA from 1 species